rnacentral:rRNA from 1 species
GACGAACGCUGGCGGCGUGCUUAACACAUGCAAGUCGAACGGAAAGGCCCUGCUUUUGUGGGGUGCUCGAGUGGCGAACGGGUGAGUAACACGUGAGUAACCUGCCCUUGUCUUUGGGAUAACUUCUGGAAACUGGGGCUAAUACCGGAUAGGAGCUCCUGCUGCAUGGUGGGGGUUGGAAAGUGUCGGCGGUUGGGGAUGGACUAGCGGCUUAUCAGCUUGUUGGUGGGGUAGUGGCUUACAAAGGCUUUGACGGGUAGCCGGCCUGAGAGGGUGACCGGCCACAUUGGGACUGAGAUACGGACCAGACGCCUACGGGAGGCAGCAGGGGGGAGUAUUGCACAAUGGGCGGAAGCCUGAGACAGCAACGCCGCGUGCGGGAUGACGGCCUUCGGGUGGUAAACCGCUUUCGCCUGUGGCGAAGCGGGAGUGACGGUAAUGGGUAAAGAAGCACCGGCUAACUACGUG